UACGUAGGGGGCUAGCGUUGUCCGGAAUCAUUGGGCGUAAAGAGCGUGUAGGCGGCCCGGUAAGUCCGCUGUGAAAGUCGGGGGCUCAACCCUCGAAUGCCGGUGGAUACUGUCGGGCUAGAGUGCGGAAGAGGCGAGUGGAAUUCCUGGUGUAGCGGUGAAAUGCGCAGAUAUUCGCAAGAACACCCGUGGCGAAGGCGGCUCUCUGGGACGGUACUGACGCUGAGACGCGAAAGCGUGGGGAGCGAACAGG
rnacentral:rRNA from 1 species